rnacentral:rRNA from 1 species
CCCUAGUAACGGCGAGUGAAGCGGCAACAGCUCAAAUUUGAAAUCUGGCUCUUUUAGAGUCCGAGUUGUAAUUUGCAGAGGGCGCUUUGGCUUUGGCAGCGGUCCAAGUUCCUUGGAACAGGACGUCACAGAGGGUGAGAAUCCCGUACGUGGUCGCUAGCUAUUGCCGUGUAAAGCCCCUUCGACGAGUCGAGUUGUUUGGGAAUGCAGCUCUAAAUGGGAGGUAAAUUUCUUCUAAAGCUAAAUAUUGGCCAGAGACCGAUAGCGCACAAGUAGAGUGAUCGAAAGAUGAAAAGCACUUUGGAAAGAGAGUCAAACAGCACGUGAAAUUGUUGAAAGGGAAGCGCUUGCAGCCAGACUUGCUUGCAGUUGCUCAUCCGGGCUUUUGCCCGGUGCACUCUUCUGUAGGCAGGCCAGCAUCAGUUUGGGCGGUGGGAUAAAGGUCUCUGUCACGUACCUCUCUUCGGGGAGGCCUUAUAGGGGAGACGACAUACCACCAGCCUAGACUGAGGUCCGCGCAUCUGCUAGGAUGCUGGCGUAAUGGCUGUAAGCGGCCCGUCUUGAAACACGGACCAAGGAGUCUAACAUCUAUGCGAGUGUUUGGGUGUCAAGCCCGAGCGCGUAAUGAAAGUGAACGGAGGUGGGAACCCGCAAGGGUGCACCAUCGACCGAUCCUGAAGUUUACGGAAGGAUUUGAGUAAGAGCAUGGCUGUUGGGACCCGAAAGAUGGUGAACUAUGCUUGAAUAGGGUGAAGCCAGAGGAAACUCUGGUGGAGGCUCGCAGCGGUUCUGACGUGCAAAUCGAUCGUCAAAUUUGGGCAUAGGGGCGAAAGACUAAUCGAACUAUCUAGUAGCUGGUUCCUGCCGAAGUUUCCCUCAGGAUAGCAGUAACGUAUUCAGUUUUAUGAGGUAAAGCGAAUGAUUAGAGGCAUGGGGGUUGAAACAACCUUCACCUAUUCUCAAACUUUAAAUAUGUAAGAAGCCCUUUGUUACUUAAUUGAACGCGGGCAUUUGAAUGAAACGUUAUUAGUGGGCCAUUUUUGGUAAGCAGAACUGGCGAUGCGGGAUGAACCGAACGAGGGGUUACGGUGCCGGAGUACACGCUCAUCAGACACCACAAAAGGUGUUGGUUCAUCUAGACAGCAGGACGGUGGCCAUGGAAGUCGGAAUCCGCUAAGGAGUGUGUAACAACUCACCUGCCGAAUGAACUAGCCCUGAAAAUGGAUGGCGCUCAAGCGUGUCACCUAUACCCCUCCGCCGGGGCAAAAUUUACGCCCCGGCGAGUAGGCAGGCGUGGAGGCUCGUGAC